AUUCUACUCCCUCCGUUGCACAACACAUGCCUUCUAUUUGUCAAAAUAUAUAUGUAUCUAGACAUGUUUUAGUAUAUAGGUACAUCCAUUUUUGGACAAAUGGAAGUCAAGUAUUUUGGAACGGAGGGAGUACACA
rfam:Triticum aestivum genome assembly, contig: Triticum_aestivum_CS42_TGACv1_scaffold_587658_7BL